AAAGGUAGAGAGAGGAAGGGCCUCUGAAACCCAGAGAGAGAGGGAGAAGGGGUUAGGGGUUAAGAAAGAGUUUGAACCGGUUGCCGAGGAGGCGGUGGAGGCGGAGGAUGAGGUCCUCCUCGUCGGGGGCGAUGGGGCCGCGCUUGACGGAGGGGCGGAGAUAGUUCAUCCACCGGAGGCGGCAGCUUUUCCCGCAGCGGAGGAGCCCGGCGCGCUUCGGCAGCGUACGCCACCGCCCCUCCCCUUCCUUCCGGACGAACUUCUUCAGCACCUCGUCCUCUUCCGGCGUCCACGGCCCCCGCUUCAGCCCCACCUUGCUGCAGCACGGCGUCGGCGCCCCUUUCUGCCGCUGCUUCAUGAUCGUCCCAGACCCCGCCACCGGCGACGCCAAAGACGACGACGAUCCCGGACCUGAACUUGACGACGGCUUCCUUUGCGGCAACGCUACUGGGGGCCGACCAAAGUGGGACCCGCAGAGCAGGCCUAAAGCCGCUGCAUCCGAAAGCUGAGGCUGCAUAAACGUUUCUAUGCGGAAUCCGCAGGCUGCGGUCGACCUUCAGCGCGGGUGGAUCUUAUCGGGCCACUUUACGUAGGCAUGCAUCUGUUUUGUUCUCUCUUCGCGGGAAGGAACGACCGCACGGGAAGCGGCGGCGGCGGCAGAAGAAAACAUAAGAAAUCUCAGAAGCAGAGCCUGGGGUUCUCAUUGCUGCCGCCAUUUUUAAUCUCUUCUCACCUUGCAAACGAGAUCGCCUCCAUUCUCCAAUCGGAAAGGGAAUCGUAGGGUAGGCCUCACUGUGUUCUUCGGAGAAUGGUGCGACAGACACACGAGUGCUCGGUGAGGAAGCCUCAUUUCUUCAGAGUCCUCUCGGGAGACUUCGUUCGCUCAGCAGCUGGCAAGUUGUUUCUUCUCUUCUCUUCUCUUUCGCUAACUUUGGGGUGGUUAUGUCCGGACGUGGAAGGGAAAGGAAUAUUUGGGGCACUUUGCUUCCGCAUUCCUUGAAACAGGGCACUGAAGAAAUGAAUACAAUAAACUUUGAUUUGUUUGUGUUAAAAUAAAUUAAAUAUCUCGAAAUUUACUUAUUUAACUGACUAUUACGUAUCAUAAAAUAUAUACUUCAUAUAAAAUAUGUUCUUAUGAUUGUGAAGAUCAUUUUUUUUUAUAUACAGUUAUACAUAUCUAAGAAUUUGAUCUUUAUAACCCAUCUCUUUGUCUACAUUUUACCUUAUUUAUUAUGAAAUCAACUAAUAUUAUUUUUAUAACAAAAGUAUCAUAUUUCAAAAUUAUUUUGUAUAAUAUGGCAUAGGAACCAGAAAAAAUCUUGAUAGAUGUCAGAGACAUGCUGUCUCCAUGGACUGACAUUCUAUUCAAAAGGAUAGGAAAUAAGCAUACAUUGUUGGCCAAAAUUAUGGAAUCAAGGCCUACUGCUAAUCAAACUAUGCUGUCUUGAUACCGUGCUCCACACUGAUACUAUCUUAUUAUUAUAUUGGUGUGCUUGGUACAGAGCCGUAAGUAUUGAUAUGCCCUUUUCUAACAUAUGCUAAUGCCGAAUUGGUACAAUAUAGUACAUUCUACCAUUUAGUUUGGUACAAUAUGAUGUUCUAUGCUACCAAUGCUCCCUACUAUUAUAAUGCAAAAUACUCAUAUUUCAUUUGUGGCCCCGAAGCCUCAUCUCCAUUUCUUUAGCGAAAACACCAUUCAAUGAGUUUACCUCUUGCUCAAGGGAGAGAUGAGAGAUGGGAGCCAGCUAAAAGUUAUCUGACAGGGAUCAAAUGUGUAAAUGGUUCGUGUGAUCCCAACCAUUCAUGCAUUCCCCUCACAUUGCAUAUGCCCAUCCCGUGUAAUGUAAACCUCUUUGUCAAAAUAUUAUGCGUUACUUAGUUGCAAACUCAUCUUUAUAUUGUAAGAAAUCGAGCCAAAUGUUUUCUUUAAUUUUCAAUUUGCAGAAAAUCCCACCAAAGUUUAUGAAGUGUAUAUCGAAUGAAGCAUCAAAUGGAGUCAUCCUUCAUGGUCCCCAUGGAAGCAGCAGCAAGUCUAUCCAAGGCACGUUCCUCUCGACGGGAUGGCCAAACUUUGUGAAAGACUACUAUUUGAAGGAACAUGAACUCCUAGUCCUUUGAUAUGAUGGAAAUGUUAGAAUAUUUUCAAAAUAUGGGCUUCCACUGAUUAUGUAUUUUUAUUUUAUAAAACAGGUUAGAUAUAUGGCUUAUAAUAGUACUAUGGUUAAGCUUAAUAUGAUGUGUGAUCAUUUUGUUUUAUGGGCUUUGGUGCACCUUAAAUGUAUAGAAUUGAGUUUUAUUUAUUAUGGUAAUUUUGGUACGUAGGCCAGGAAUCCCAAUUAGAAUUUGAAACCUUUAAUGAGAAGGCUCCCUUAUGUUUUCUAUAUAAAGGCUAAGUCCCCCUCUCCUCUCCAUAUGGUUGAUAGCUUGCCCCAUUGAUGGUUAUUUUUUGUGAGGAGUAAGGAAGGGAAGAUCCAGCUCCUAUUAUUCUAGAUGAUUGAAUAACGCAUUCAAUAUGUCUUUCGUAGGUA